rnacentral:rRNA from 1 species
CCUACGGGGGGCAGCAGUCGAGAAUCAUUCACAAUGGGGGAAACCCUGAUGGUGCGACGCCGCGUGGGGGAAUGAAGGUCUUCGGAUUGUAAACCCCUGUCAUGUGGGAGCAAAUUAAAAAGAUAGUACCACAAGAGGAAGAGACGGCUAACUCUGUGCCAGCAGCCGCGGUAAUACAGAGGUCUCAAGCGUUGUUCGGAAUCACUGGGCGUAACGCGUGCGUAGGCUGUUUCGUAAGUCGUGUGUGAAAGGCGCGGGCUCAACCCGCGGACGGCACAUGAUACUGCGAGACUAGAGUAAUGGAGGGGGAACCGGAAUUCUCGGUGUAGCAGUGAAAUGCGUAGAUAUCGAGAGGAACACUCGUGGCGAAGGCGGGUUCCUGGACAUUAACUGACGCUGAGGCACGAAGGCCAGGGGAGCGAAAGGGAUUAGAUACCCGUGUAGUC